rnacentral:rRNA from 1 species
UACGAAGGGGGCUAGCGUUGCUCGGAAUCACUGGGCGUAAAGGGUGCGUAGGCGGAUCGUUAAGUCGGGGGUGAAAUCCUGGAGCUCAACUCCAGAACUGCCUUCGAUACUGGCGAUCUAGAGUCCGGAAGAGGUGAGUGGAACUCCUAGUGUAGAGGUGGAAUUCGUAGAUAUUAGGAAGAACACCAGUGGCGAAGGCGGCUCACUGGUCCGGUACUGACGCUGAGGUGCGAAAGCGUGGGGAGCAAACAGG